rnacentral:misc_RNA from 1 species
AACGCACAUUGCGCCUUCCGGUAUUCCGGGAGGCACGUCCGUUUGAGCGUCAGUGAACACCCUCCGGCCCCCGGUUUUUGCGAACCGGCUGGCGCGGGCCCAUGGCGCGGGGAUAGAGGCCACCGCGUUUCGGCGCGUCGAGGCAUUCCCCCGCUUAAACGCGGAGAAAAGCUAGCGGGCAGGUGCCCCCAUCGCGAUGACUCGUAGAUUUAUCUUCCGUCGUCCAGCGUGAGGGAAGCCGCCGCCAUAAAAACGAGGGGAGCCCCCCGCGGGCACCCCUCCAGAAUCUUGACCUCAGAUCGGACGAGGAUACCCGCUGAACUUAA